AUUGAACGCUGGCGGCAGGCCUAACACAUGCAAGUCGAGCGAGCGGCGGACGGGUGAGUAAUGUAUGGGGACUGCCCGAUCGAGGGGGAUAACUACUGGAAACGGUGGCUAAUACCGCAUACUCUCGGAUAACCCAUCUGGGAUUAGCUAGUAGGUGGGGUAAAGGCUCACCUAGGCGACGAUCUCUAGCUGGUCUGAGCGGAUGAUCAGCCAAGUGGGGACUGAGAACGGGCCCAGACUCCUACGGGGGCAGCAGUGGGGAAGAUUGCACAAGGGGGGCAAGCCGGAGGCAGCCAGGCCGCGGGUAUGAAGAAGGCCUUAGGGUGGUAAAGUACGUUCAGCGGGGAGGCGUUACCCGCAGAAGAAGCACCGGCUAACUCCGUGCCAGCAGCCGCGGUAAUUC
rnacentral:rRNA from 1 species